rnacentral:rRNA from 1 species
GACGCACCGCUGGUGUACCAGUUGUCCCGCCAGGGGCACCGCUGGGUAGCUAUGUGCGGAAGGGAUAAGCGCUGAAAGCAUCUAAGCGUGAAGCCCCCCUCAAGAUGAGAUUUCCCAUCGCGUUAAGUGAGUAAGAUCCCUCGAAGAUGACGAGGUUGAUAGGUCCGAGGUGGAAGCGUGGCGACACGUGGAGCUGACGGAUACUAAUCGAUCGAGGGCUUAACCUAG